rnacentral:pre_miRNA from 1 species
UCCUAAGGAUGCCAAAGAAAAUAGUUUUCUGAGAUACAAUCCAUUUUUGGUAAAGAUACUAUGAA